AGACCAUGAUAUAGACACUUCCUUUACAAAUCUUUAUACUUUUCUCAAGCUUCAUACAAAGAUUCACCAUCCAACUGAAUAAAACUAGUAAUAUCAUUUUUGAGUUU